CACAUAGUCUUGGUGACCCCCACUUUGAGAAGCUUUGAUCGCUAGCCACAAAGUAAUCUAUCCAGUGGUCCAUAAGUAGUGUUUUUGCUGUAAAAGUAGAGGCAUUCCUGCAAACCUAUACACUCAAAAAAGUGUGUUUCUGUAAACACUGUUGGGUUGCUCAUGCUGGGUCAAAGGGGUUGUAAGGUGUUAUUCACAGCUGAACAGCUGGUUGGGUUACUUUGACCCAGCUGAUGGUUCAUUCAUUUUCCCGCUCUUCCAUUGUCGAAUUUUCUGGAUCCAUCGUUUGCAGUCAGAGGUUCGCACAACACGGUGGGCAGGAUUUUAUGGCUGUCUCCCUGCAGAAUGUGGACUGUGUGCUGCCACAUUGUGUCUCCAGACCUGCCAAACGUUGGUUUGGUUUCUGGUCCUUCACUUUUCUGUGCUGGAGUUUCUUUAAGAGCUUGAUGGCUACAUCCAACCCGAUAUUAAAUUUCUUCUCAUUAACUUG